UGUGGGUGUAUGUGAUCAGAUUUCUGGAAGUGUCUCAUCGUGACACAUCCAGUGUAGCGACAUCACUGAUUAUAAUGGAUUCUUUUUUAUUUUGUGGCUCUUGCUGUGUAAGAAACUGCACACACUUCAUUGGUUCUUGCAUGUAUUGCAUCCAUGCCAGGUUGCAUCCAUGCCAGGUUUGUACAGAAGUGUAAGAGAAAUUGACAGUUUUGGCUGAAAGCAAGAUUUAGUUACUUUUAAAUUCAUGUUUUUUAUCCCAGAAGCAAAUGAAUUGGCCUGUCUUUUUAAAAAACACUUCUGAAUGCGUCAGCACGAAUAUAUUUGGACUGGCUUCGCCAUUGGAGGUCGAGUCAGUGAGAUAUGCGAGCCUCAGAAUGGCUGUCAGCCAUCAGAUACUUUUAAAGAGCUUCAGGCUUUAAAGCUUUACAUGCCAAACAGCAGCGCAGAGCCUAAUUUGGUGAAAGGGUCUCUGUGUGGUCUAAUAUCUCUAAAACGAGGGUUCUUGGUUAUUUUAAGGACACUACUGAACUGUUCAUGACAAGAGACGCAGAACUCAGAAUAAGGGGAAAAUGAGAGACCUUUCAUUAUACACCUUUAAUGGAGGUGGAUCAUGGGUUCACCUUGAUGAAACGACCAGCUACGACCAACAUGAAAUGCCAGGUUUAUGCUGUUUCUAAAGCUGGUUGACAAACAUGGCUGAAGCAAACAACACCCUCAAGCUGAAGUUCACCUGAACAAGAUAUAAAGGAACAGCAGCAAAGCAAUAUGGGUUCACAAUGAUGAGUUCCAUUUAAGGGAAAGGAAAAAUAAUUGUGUCCUAACUAGGAAUACUGCAAUAAAGAUUUUAUUUAUAAUGUG